UCUUCGGACCUUGCGCUAAUAGAUGAGCCUAAGUCGGAUUAGCUAGUUGGUGGGGUAAAGGCCUACCAAGGCGACGAUCUGUAGCGGGUCUGAGAGGAUGAUCCGCCACACUGGGACUGAGACACGGCCCAGACUCCUACGGGAGGCAGCAGUGGGGAAUAUUGGACAAUGGGGGGAACCCUGAUCCAGCCAUGCCGCGUGUGUGAAGAAGGCCUUAUGGUUGUAAAGCACUUUAAGCGAGGAGGAGGCUACUGAGACUAAUACUCUUGGAUAGUGGACGUUACUCGCAGAAUAAGCACCGGCUAACUCUGUGCCAGCAGCCGCGGUAAUACAGAGGGUGCGAGCGUUAAUCGGAUUUACUGGGCGUAAAGCGUGCGUAGGCGGCUUUUUAAGUCGGAUGUGAAAUCCCCGAGCUUAACUUGGGGAAUUGCAUUCGAUACUGGGAAGCUAGAGUAUGGG
rnacentral:rRNA from 1 species